CAGGUUAGGAAGCAGGAGCUGAUGCAGAGGCCAUGGAGGGUGCCGCUUACUGGCUUGCUUCCCUUGGCUUGCUCAGCCUGCUUUCUUAUAGAACCCAAGACUCCCAGCCCAGGGAUGGCACCAUCCACAAUGGGCCCUCCCCACUUGAUCACUAAUUGAGAAAAUGUCCCACAGCUGGAUCUCGUGGAGGCAUUUCCUCAAGGGAGGCUCCUUUCUCUGUGAUAACUCCAGCUUGUGUCAAGUUGACACACAAAACCAGCCAGCACCAUGACUUCUCUUUUCUGUCAAAUUAAGGAGCCGUGCCUUAGAUUCUAAAAUGUAAAUGUAAAACUUCCUUUCUUUAAUGAGAUCCUCAGAGGCUAAUUUUAUUUGUAAAUAAGAAAGACAUGCAGAUUUUUUUCUGAGGUGGGUAUGCGUAUUCUAUUGCACGUAUGUGAGCAUGGUAUGCUGUGUGGGAACUGAGACAGAGCCUGGAAUUUUAACCUUAGCCCUGUCCCCUGAAGACUGGCAAAUGACCAUGAGGGAAAAGGCUUGGCUCAACAGUUUUCUUUCUUUAGUGUACUCGCACAUGUGCACUCAACCCCUGAUACUUUCAGAGUGAGUUGGGACCUUCCUUAAGCUCAUUACAUUUCUUGACUCUCAUGGGUCACCCAAACUAAAGGUAAUUAAGGAAUAAAUGAGAUGGAAAUAGUUAGAAAUAAUUGGGAUAUCUAGAGACUGGUAGGUAUUAUAUUAUAUCCAGCAGAGACUGAACGAGUGUGCCGUUUAAUCUGGAAAUUUAGAAAGGCGGCUUCACGUUAAUAGUGCAGCUUGAAUUAUGGGCUUUCUCAGCAAAGGAGAAACUGGCCUAAUUAUGAUUAAGAGACACUGUUAACUAAGAUCAGAGAUAUUAGAGGAGACCUGAGAACCCUGGCUGGCAUCACAAAGUUAACCGGUGAGUCUUUGAAGUUCCAGAGGUGACAGUUGUGGGUGGAUAGGAUGGGCGGAGCCUGUCACGGGCAUUGACCCAACCGAGACAGGGCCAGAGGAAGGUGCCCCAGACACCUUUCUUUAAGUUCUUAGUUCUAACAUACGGGACAAGUCUCAGGACUCCUUAAGAUCCUUAAGAUGAAUAACUCUGGCCAUGUGGAUGAGCAGCUGGAGUAGGCUUCGGUGCAGGGCCGGCCAACUCUGCUGUGAGCUUCAGAAGUGAGGUUGGAAAAUCCUAGGCAUGGAGGGGAAAGUAAUGGCAGAGAAGGGCGGAGCAUUUUAGGACCCAGGAGAGAAGGGCAGAGCAUUUUAGGACUGGGUGAUGUUUGCUUUGGUUCUGAUAGCCGCUUCCAUUUGAUCUUGGAUAAACCAAAUGUUUACAAUUAACUGUAUCCUCCACGUGGACCGAUAGCUUUCAGCUUCUGAAAGGGAUUUCAUGUACUUUUAUUAUUUUGGCAAUAAAUGACGAUGCCUGGGGUGAGGGGUUACAUUCUGUGUGGUCUUUCCCAAAGUGCUCACUACUCUAUCCUCACAGAAAUGUGCUGUGUGCUUUGGGUGAGCUGAAAACAUAGGUUUAUCGCUAAUCUGAGUAUAGAUAACAGAUACCCAUGAGCUCUUAGCCUU
rnacentral:lncRNA from 1 species